GUUCUUCUUUAGUAAAAACUACCAAUGAUUUUUCACCACUUAUAUUGAUUAAACCCAAGAAGAAGAA
rnacentral:tRNA from 1 species